rnacentral:lncRNA from 1 species
AACAUAUACUUAAUGCCUGAUAGUUGAAUAUAGGUUGCAAUACUGUAAAUAUAGACAAUACUGUAAAUAUAGACAAUACAAUUUCCAAAAGGAACUUCUAUUACAGCUUAAAGUGUACCACUUUUACUAUGAAUUUUCUUAAAAUAAUCACAUAUAUGUAGUCUUCUUAAUUGAUAGGUAAACUCUGAAGUCGGCCUACAAAGCUUGUGCUAAUAAAUAUACUCCAAACAAUGUUUAUAUAAUUAAAAUGAGAGAUCGAGAAACAGGAAUUAGCCAACC